rnacentral:rRNA from 1 species
UACGGGAGGCAGCAGUGGGGAAUAUUGCACAAUGGGGGAAACCCUGAUGCAGCCAUGCCGCGUGUGUGAAGAAGGCUUUCGGGUUGUAAAGCACUUUCAGCGAGGAGGAAAGGGUGAUGGCUAAUAUCCAUCAUCUGUGACGUUACUCGCAGAAGAAGCACCGGCUAACUCCGUGCCAGCAGCCGCGGUAAUACGGAGGGUGCGAGCGUUAAUCGGAAUUACUGGGCGUAAAGCGCGUGUAGGUGGUUAAUUAAGUCAGAUGUGAAAGCCCAGGGCUCAACCUUGGAACUGCAUUUGAAACUGGUUGACUAGAGUUUUGUAGAGGGUGGUAGAAUUUCAGGUGUAGCGGUGAAAUGCGUAGAGAUCUGAAGGAAUACCAGUGGCGAAGGCGGCCACCUGGACAGUAACUGACACUGAGACGCGAAGGCGUGGGGAGCAAACGGGAUUAGAUACCCCGGUAGUCCACGCAGUAAACGAUGUCUAUUAGAAGUUUGUGGCUAUAUGCCGUGGGUUUCAAAGCUAACGCAUUAAAUAGACCGCCUGGGGAGUACGGCCGCAAGGUUAAAACUCAAAUGAAUUGACGGGGGCCCGCACAAGCGGUGGAGCAUGUGGUUUAAUUCGAUGCAACGCGAAGAACCUUACCAUCCCUUGACAUCCAGAGAAUCUGUUAGAGAUAGUAGAGUGCCUUCGGGAGCUCUGAGACAGGUGCUGCAUGGCUGUCGUCAGCUCGUGUUGUGAAAUGUUGGGUUAAGUCCCGCAACGAGCGCAACCCUUAUCCUUAGUUGCCAGCACGUAAUGGUGGGAACUCUAGGGAGACUGCCGGUGAUAAACCGGAGGAAGGUGGGGACGACGUCAAGUCAUCAUGGCCCUUACGGGAUGGGCUACACACGUGCUACAAUGGCAAAUACAAAGGGUUGCUAACCUGCGAGGGUAUGCGAAUCUCAUAAAGUUUGUCGUAGUCCGGAUCGGAGUCUGCAACUCGACUCCGUGAAGUUGGAAUCGCUAGUAAUCGCGGAUCAGAAUGCCGCGGUGAAUACGUUCCCGGGCCUUGUACACACCGCCCGUCACACCAUGGGAGUGGGCUGCACCAGAAGUCAUUAGCUUAACCUUCGGGAUGGCGAUGACCACGGUGUGGUUCAUGACUGGGGUGAAGUC